rnacentral:tRNA from 1 species
GGGGCCGUAGCUCAGCUGGGAGNNUGGGAGAGCGUCGCGUUCGCAAUGCGAAGGUCAGGGGUUCGAUCCCCCUCGGCUCCACCA